CUUGGCACUAGGAGCCGAUGAAGGACGGGACUAACACCGAUAUGCUUUGGGGAGCUGUAAGUAAGCUAUGAUCCAGAGAUUUCCGAAUGGGGGAACCCAAUAUCUUUUAUAGGAUAUUACUUUUCAGUGAAUACAUAGCUGAUUAGAGGUAGACGCAGAGAACUGAAACAUCUUAGUACCUGCAGGAAGAGAAAGAAAAUUCGAUUCCCUGAGUAGCGGCGAGCGAAACGGGAAGAGCCCAAACCAACAAGCUUGCUUGUUGGGGUUGUAGGACUCCAAUAUGGUAGUCUGUUAGUAUAGUUGAAGGAUUUGGAAAAUUCCGCUAAAGAGGGUGAAAGCCCCGUAGACGAAAUGCUGACAACACCUAGGAGGAUCCUGAGUACGGCGGAACACGAGAAAUUCCGUCGGAAUCCGCGGGGACCAUCCCGCAAGGCUAAAUACUCCCUAGUGACCGAUAGUGAACCAGUACCGUGAGGGAAAGGUGAAAAGCACCCCGGAAGGGGAGUGAAAUAGAUCCUGAAACCGUGUGCCUACAACAAGUCAAAGCUCGUUAAUGAGUGAUGGCGUGCCUUUUGUAGAAUGAACCGGCGAGUUACGAUUGCAUGCGAGGUUAAGUCGAAGAGACGGAGCCGCAGCGAAAGCGAGUCUGAAUAGGGCGAAUGAGUAUGUAGUCGUAGACCCGAAACCAUGUGAUCUACCCAUGUCCAGGUUGAAGGUGCGGUAAAACGCACUGGAGGACCGAACCCACGUACGUUGAAAAGUGCGGGGAUGAGGUGUGGGUAGCGGAGAAAUUCCAAACGAACUUGGAGAUAGCUGGUUCUCUCCGAAAUAGCUUUAGGGCUAGCCUCGGAAUUGAGAAUGAUGGAGGUAGAGCACUGUUUGGACUAGGGGCCCAUCUCGGGUUACCGAAUUCAGAUAAACUCCGAAUGCCAUUCAUUUAUAUCCGGGAGUCAGACUGCGAGUGAUAAGAUCCGUAGUCGAAAGGGAAACAGCCCAGACCACCAGCUAAGGUCCCAAAAUAUAUGUUAAGUGGAAAAGGAUGUGGGGUUGCACAGACAACUAGGAUGUUGGCUUAGAAGCAGCCACCAUUUAAAGAGUGCGUAAUAGCUCACUAGUCGAGUGACCCUGCGCCGAAAAUGUACCGGGGCUAAACAUAUUACCGAAGCUGUGGACUACACCAUUAGGUGUAGUGGUAGGAGAGCGUUCUAAGGGCGUUGAAGGUCGAUCGUGAGGACGGCUGGAGCGCUUAGAAGUGAGAAUGCCGGUAUGAGUAGCGAAAGACAGGUGAGAAUCCUGUCCACCGUAUGACUAAGGUUUCCUGGGGAAGGCUCGUCCGCCCAGGGUUAGUCGGGACCUAAGCCGAGGCCGAUAGGCGUAGGCGAUGGACAACAGGUUGAUAUUCCUGUACCAGUUGUUUUUGUUUGAGCAAUGGAGGGACGCAGUAGGCUAAGGAAUGCAUGCGAUUGGAAGUGCAUGUCCAAGCAAUGAGUCUUGAGUAGAGUUAAAUGCUUUACUCUCUAAGGACAAGUUGUGACGGGGAGCGAAAUAAUAGUAGC
rnacentral:rRNA from 1 species